ACAGUCUCUCCUGUCACUUCUCUGAUAUAAACCCCAGUAAUGGAACAGGAACUCUUGAAGAAGCCUUAUGUGGGAAGCGCUUACAUCCAAUGGUGGCUGUCCUGGGCUUCAUGGAAUUUCCAGUCUCCAGUGUCCCCUGUCGCCAGAUCCAUCCUCCAGAGCAACUAGAGUGACCACGUGUUGAUGCUUCCAUGCAGAAUUCUGUAAAGUCUCCCCAUUGCCUACAGGAUGGAAGGACAGCACUGUCUGAGGGAUGCUAUCCACUGUUUUGCUA